AGACAAUAGAUACCCAGGUAGUCCACGCCGUAAACGGUGGGCACUAGGUGUGGGCAACAUUCCACGUUGUCCGUGCCGCAGCUAACGCAUUAAGUGCCCCGCCUGGGGAGUACGGCCGCAAGGCUAAAAACUCAAAGGAAUUGACGGGGGCCCGCACAAGCGGCGGAGCAUGUGGCUUAAUUCGACGCAACGCGAAGAACCUUACCAAGGCUUGACAUACAUCGGAAACGGCCAGAGAUGGUCGCCCCCUUGUGGUCGGUGUACAGGUGGUGCAUGGCUGUCGUCAGCUCGUGUCGUGAGAUGUUGGGUUAAGUCCCGCAACGAGCGCAACCCUUGUCCUGUGUUGCCAGCAACCUCUUCGGAGGGUUGGGGACUCACGGGAGACUGCCGGGGUCAACUCGGAGGAAGGUGGGGACGACGUCAAGUCAUCAUGCCCCGUUAUGUCUUGGGCUGCACACGUGCUACAAUGGCCGGUACAAUGAGCUGCGAUGCCGUGAGUGGAGCGAAUCUCAAAAAGCCGGUCUCAGUUCGGAUU
rnacentral:rRNA from 1 species